CUUGGUGAACAGUAAUAACAAUUUAGAAUUCUUGAAUCACAGGCAUAGACUCUUAGAAUCACAGGCAUAAACACUUAGAAUUAUAGAAUGUUAGAAUUCAUUACUUCAUUCACUAGCUAUUUUCUGAAUGCUCCAUUUGUGCCCUGCGCUGUGACGGGACUAGAGGAUUGAAGAAGGAGAUCCACCCGGCUAUGAGUUGGUGCCAGGAAGGCCAUUGCAGAGAAAGGCAGGCGUGGAGUGUCCUCUGCCAGAGGCUGCCUGAGCUCCAUGGAAGGAGGCCAGUGUGGCAGUGAGGUGCCUGGCUGCCCGCCCCUCCCCUCACUCCUCUAAUAACCACCAUUUCUGUCUCCACCAAUUCUGGGACACCCACCUGCAGGUUCAAGACCACUCACACUUGGGCACUGAUGGGCCUCUAUGGGGUCAUGGAAGGAGCCCUCAGGCAGUGGAAUGUCUCAGGUGACCCCUGCCAAGGGGCCAAGCCCAGCUUUUGUUGCUUAGCCUCCUCCAAGGAAAACCCUCCCUGGGAAAGUUCUGAUGAUCACCACCUCUGACCAAGCCAUACUUCCUGUAAGCACCAGAAAGAAAGUGAUUCCAGGUUCUAUUAUUGAACUUUACACUAUCGUUUCAACAAAAUAAAG
rnacentral:lncRNA from 10 species